rnacentral:rRNA from 1 species
UACGGAGGGUCCAAGCGUUAUCCGGAAUCAUUGGGUUUAAAGGGUCCGUAGGCGGUUUUGUAAGUCAGUGGUGAAAGCCCAUCGCUCAACGGUGGAACGGCCAUUGAUACUGCAAGACUUGAAUUAUUGGGAAGCAACUAGAAUAUGUAGUGUAGCGGUGAAAUGCUUAGAUAUUACAUGGAAUACCAAUUGCGAAGGCAGGUUGCUACCAAUACAUUGACGCUGAUGGACGAAAGCGUGGGGAGCAAACAGGG